rnacentral:rRNA from 1 species
GACGAACGCUGGCGGCGUGCCUAAUACAUGCAAGUAGAACGCACAGUUUAUACCGUAGCUUGCUACACCAUAGACUGUGAGUUGCGAACGGGUGAGUAACGCGUAGGUAACCUGCCUGGUAGCGGGGGAUAACUAUUGGAAACGCUAGCUAAUACCGCAUAAUAUUGAUUAUUGCAUUAUAAUUGAUUGAAAGAUUCUAUUGCAUCACUACCAGAUGGACCUGCGUUGUAUUAGCUAGUAGGUGAGGUAACGGCUCACCUAGGCGACGAUACAUAGCCGACGUGAGAGGGUGAUGCGCCACCCUGGAACUGAGACACGGCCCAGACUCCUACGGGAGGCAGAAGUAGGGAAUCUUGGGCAAUGGGCGAAAGCCUGCCCGAGCAACGCCGCGUGGGUGAAGAAGGUUUUCGGAUCGUAAAACUCUUUUUUAAGGGAAGAACGGGUGUGAGAGUGGAAAUUUAACACUGGGGCGGUAUUUAACCAAAAAGGAACGGCUAACACCUG